rnacentral:rRNA from 1 species
AACGAACGCUGGCGGCAGGCUUAACACAUGCAAGUCGAGCGCCCCGCAAGGGGAGCGGCAGACGGGUGAGUAACGCGUGGGAACGUACCCUUUGCUACGGAAUAGCUCCGGGAAACUGGAAUUAAUACCGUAUGUGCCCUACGGGGGAAAGAUUUAUCGGCAAAGGAUCGGCCCGCGUUGGAUUAGCUAGUUGGUGGGGUAAUGGCCUACCAAGGCGACGAUCCAUAGCUGGUCUGAGAGGAUGAUCAGCCACAUUGGGACUGAGACACGGCCCAAACUCCUACGGGAGGCAGCAGUGGGGAAUAUUGGACAAUGGGCGCAAGCCUGAUCCAGCCACGCCGCGUGAGUGAUGAAGGCCUUAGGGUUGUAAAGCUCUUUCACCGGAGAAGAUAGUGACGGUAUCCGGAGAAGAAGCCCCGGCUAACUUCGUGCCAGCCGCCGCAGUAAUAC